rnacentral:rRNA from 1 species
UACGAAGGGGGCUAGCGUUGCUCGGAAUUACUGGGCGUAAAGCGCACGUAGGCGGUGUUCUUUGUCAGAGGUGAAAGCCCGGGGCUCAACUCCGGAAUUGCCUUUGAAACGGGAACGCUAGAGUCCGAGAGAGGAUGGCGGAAUUCCUAGUGUAGAGGUGAAAUUCGUAGAUAUUAGGAAGAACACCAGUGGCGAAGGCGGCCAUCUGGCUCGGUACUGACGCUCAGGUGCGAAAGCGUGGGGAGCAAACAGG